UGGGAGGGAGCCCUCCCCUGAUCUUUCUCAUCCAGUACGUAGAGAGGGGGCAAGUAAUUCAGUUGAUCAUCUUCUUCCCAAUCUCUCUGAAUGUCAGUGAGAUUGCUCUAUGAAAAGUUCCUGUCCCUCUCAAUUUCAUUUCUUCUUCCAAGAAUUCAAGCAAAGCCCACAACUCUUGCUUGAAUUCUCAAUCCCAAUAGAAUACAAAGGGUUCUCAAGUGGUGGUGUCUUGGUUUGGAGUUCAAGAUCUAGAUCGAAGCUUUUGUGAUCGUGAAUCGAGAGAAUUACGCGAAGAAGAAUCUUUCAGUUACGUGGAUUGUCGCCGUUCAGACUGACGCCGUCGAACUCGAACCAGUCGCCGGAUCUGGUUCUCACGUCGUUGCCUCAUCGCGCCAAUGAUCCGAAGCCACCAAGUCCGUGUCUCAUCUUCUCCGUGUGGCUUCAAGGCUCGACGCCGUCGACCUCCAAUGCUAGCUGGAGUCUCCAGCCGCGCCGCUUAUUUUCUCUGUUUCGACUUCAGAUGAUCAACCAGUCGCCGUCGUUCACUUUUUCUCUCUGUUUUCCGCCGGCUGUGGGUUGUUUUCAGUGUGGGUUUUGUUCAGCGCCGCCAGUUUCGGCUUCUGCCAUCAUCGCUGUCUUGGUUGUCAGAAUCAACCAGUUCUAUCGGUUGGGAAAAGGACAAGAAUUGACUAGCGAGGGACAGAUGAAACUCGUGAUAGAGCCAUACGGGGACAAUAGAUAAAGCUUCCGUGCAGUUCAUAUUUUUUAAGUUACUUAAUUGUUUGAAAUUUCAGUUUUUCGUCAGACGGAAUAAUUUACGGUUUUGGUUUGAACAUUAUCUUUGUCAAUUU